rnacentral:lncRNA from 1 species
GAGAGCUCCAUGCAUUGUGAUGGCAGCGAGAAGCCUGAAGAUCCUUCAACUGACUUCGGAGAAGACAUUGCUUCCCUCCUGGGGGAGAGCUCCAUGCAUUGUGAUGGCAGCGAGAAGGCUGCAGAUCCUUCGACUGACUUCGGAGAAGACAUUGCUUCCCUCCUGGGGGAGAGCUCCAUGCAUUGUGAUGGCAGCGAGAAGCCUGCAGAUCCUUCGACUGACUUCGAUUGGAAAACAGCUCCAGAGGAAGGAUAUCGUUUGUUUGAGGUCACCCGGUUUGCGAAGAUGAAGUCAGAAUUUAGAGCCCAUGUUGUUCACCGAUGAGUUACGUCACUAACCACGUUCCAAAGUGAUGCUAGAUGGAAAGAAUGCUGGUGCUUCAGAGUCCUGGGGCAACCUUGAGAAGCUGCAGAGGAGUGGAUGACCACGAGCUGGGGCUUGGUAUUUAUCACUGGGUGGAUAUGCAAGCUGAGGGCGUUUGGAGAAGAAAGA